AAUGUGCCCUUGUGAACCCCUUGGAGUGCACAUGAACCAGUGGUAAAUUGUGCAGGAAAAUUUUUAAUUCCGAUGUGGUUAUCUUGUGGCUCUCAAGGGGAGGACUUGAAAUGCCUCUUGCUUUGGAAGGAAUUGUAAAACCAUCAUUAUGUGUACAGUAAUGUCCUUAGAAAGUUCUCUAAUUUCUUUAAAAGUAAUGUCUGGCUGUUUUGAUUUUCAGUUUGCUAUUGGUUCACUGAUGGAUGAUUAUCUUGGUCUUGUCAGUUGAUAAAGCUGAACAUUUCUCUCAGUUUUCAUUGCCUUUGGAGUUAUUGUUCAGUACAAGGGAGACAUCAAUCAAUCAAUCAAUCAAGAUUUUGAGUGAACCUUUCAGAUUUAUCUAACAAGAGGUCUUCAAAGUGUUUAUGGAUACCACACUGUACAUAAUUAUGUAUUAAUAACACAGGCAAAGGAAGAGUUUUCAUGGGUUCUCAUUGUGUUGCAUUUAUUGAACUUUUUAUACAGAAAUAAUGGUAGUGUAGCUUUUGUUUUUGUGGCAAAACUGAUAGUUUUUGAAAUUCAUAUGGUGAAUGGGCUUGUGCUACUAAAUACUUUGAUACUAAAAAAUGUAGCUUGUAUGGAACACUAUGACAUUGCUAGGUAUCUUUUGAUACAUUAAACCUCUUUUAUUUGUUUUACAAA